rnacentral:rRNA from 1 species
UGCUGGAGGUAUCAGAAGUGCGAAUGCUGACAUGAGUAACGACAAAGGGAGUGAAAAACUCCCUCGCCGGAAGACCAAGGGUUCCUGUCCAACGUUAAUCGGGGCAGGGUGAGUCGACCCCUAAGGCGAGGCCGAAAGGCGUAGUCGAUGGGAAACGGGUUAAUAUUCCCGUACUUCUUACUAUUGCGAUGGGGGGACGGAGAAGGCUAGGUGAGCCUGGCGACGGUUGUCCAGGUCCAAGUACGUAGGUGGAUGAAUUAGGCAAAUCCGGUUCAUCAUUAACACUGAGAUACGAUGUCGAGCUACUACGGUAGCGAAGUCAUUGAUGCCAUGCUUCCGGGAAAAGCCUCUAAGCUUCAGAUAGUAAGAAAUCGUACCCCAAACCGACACAGGUGGUCGGGUAGAGAAUACCAAGGCGCUUGAGAGAACUCGGGUGAAGGAACUAGGCAAAAUGGUACCGUAACUUCGGGAGAAGGUACGCUCUUAACGGUGAAGUCCCUCGCGGAUGGAGCUGUCGAGAGUCGCAGAUACCAGGUGGCUGCAACUGUUUAUUAAAAACACAGCACUGUGCAAAAUCGAAAGAUGACGUAUACGGUGUGACGCCUGCCCGGUGCCGGAAGGUUAAUUGAUGGGGUUAGACGUAAGUCGAAGCUCUUGAUCGAAGCCCCGGUAAACGGCGGCCGUAACUAUAACGGUCCUAAGGUAGCGAAAUUCCUUGUCGGGUAAGUUCCGACCUGCACGAAUGGCGUAAUGAUGGCCACGCUGUCUCCACCCGAGACUCAGUGAAAUUGAAAUCGCUGUGAAGAUGCAGCGUACCCGCGGCUAGACGGAAAGACCCCGUGAACCUUUACUACAGCUUGGCACUGAACAUUGACCCUACAUGUGUAGGAUAGGUGGGAGACUUUGAAACGCAGACGCCAGUUUGCGUGGAGUCGUCCUUGAAAUACCACCCUUGUAGUGUUGAUGUUCUAACUUGGCCCCAUUA